AAAAAGGUGAAACUAAUCAGAUUAUGCAAGAAACAGCCAUAUUUUAAAAAACAUGGAUGAGAUUAUAGUUGACUGUGGAUUAAACCAACAUGAAGAAGACAUGCUUACUGAAGAGCUUUCUGUUUCUGAUACUUGUGUGCGCUUAAAGGAAACGAGUGGUGUACUUGCAUGCAAAAAGUGUCAUCAAAAAAUUCAUAUCUUCUGUGGCCAUCCUAGUAAAGAUAAUGAAAUGGAUAUUUUAUGCACUGUUUCAAAACUGAAAAUGCUAUUGAAGGUAAAAUAAAUUCUAAAAUCAAUCUGGAA
rnacentral:lncRNA from 1 species